AUUGAACGCUGGCGGAAUGCUUUACACAUGCAAGUCGAACGGUAGAGGGGGCAACCCCUUGAGAGUGGCGAACGGGUGAGUAAUAUAUCGGAACGUGCCCAGUCGUGGGGAUAACGUAGCGAAAGUUACGCUAAUACCGCAUACGAUCUAAGGAUGAAAGCGGGGGACUCGCAAGAGCCUCGCGCGAUUGGAGCGGCCGAUAUCAGAUUAGGUAGUUGGUGGGGUAAAGGCUCACCAAGCCAACGAUCUGUAGCUGGUCUGAGAGGACGACCAGCCACACUGGAACUGAGACACGGUCCAGACUCCUACGGGAGGCAGCAGUGGGGAAUUUUGGACAAUGGGCGCAAGCCUGAUCCAGCAAUGCCGCGUGCAGGAUG
rnacentral:rRNA from 1 species